UUAGCCUUAUCUGGUCCCUAACCAACAACCCAUCCUUGACUCUCACCUCACCCCUUCUUAGACCUCCCCAUAUCUUUUACCCUAUCCUUUACUAGAUGCUCCCAAGUCAAAAUAUCCCUGGUGUCCAAACAGUGGACAAUGUCAGACGGUAUCCCAAUUUCAUCCAUGGGGCAUGAAUGGCCUGACCGAGGCUGCUGGUAAUGGACAUGCCAGGAAAGGCAGAGUGAGAGGAAAUUGUAAAGAGCAAUGUACAAGAUUUGGCAACAGAGCAGAUGUAGCAGAAGGAACACAGAGAGUGGCCAAAGAUGACUCUCUGGUCAGCAUGUCAUGAGAAGAGUGAGGACAUUGGGGAAGUGAAGAACAGAAGAGGGUGUGAGAACAGCUGAAGAGGAUGAGUUUGGACUGGGCCAUGUCAAGGGAAACGCUAUGUUCUUCUAGACUGGUUGGAGGGACACUGCUAGGUGAAGGGGAGGGGUUUACACUCAAGACAGAAUUCCUAAAGCCCUGCGGAACACACUCCUAGUAAGAUUUUCUAGUGUCAGGAUCUUUUGUGAAGAUUCAGAGAUGUGGAUCACCAGCUCACAUGAGAAAAAAAGAGUAAGAAUCAUUUAACUAAAGUCUCUCAGGGGACUAAUUGUGGACAACAACAUCUAACAUAAAGGCUCAGUGUGUUAAGCGCUUCACAGGCAUUAUCUCAUUCAAUUUGCACAACAGCCUUGUAAGGAAAAACUACUAUUACAUCACCUCCAUUUUCCAGAUGAGGACACCAAGCACGGCAGGUCUUAGUGCCUAGCCCAA